GCUGGGCGUGGUGGUGCACAUCUGUGGUCCCAGCUACUCAGGAGGCUGAGGCAGGAGGAUUGCUUGAGCCCAGGUAUUUAAGGUUGCAGUGGGCUGUGAAAGCUCCACUUCAGUCCAGCCUGAGCAACAGAGCAAGACCCUGUCUCAA
ensembl:misc_RNA Metazoa_SRP Metazoan signal recognition particle RNA